UUUUCCCUGUUUUAAAAAAAUUGUGCAGGGAAUUUGCAAGGCCCCUAAAUACUUCUGAAUAUGUCAUGGAUUUCAAGAGUAAAGCAAGUUUCCGGAAACUUACUUUGCUUGUGGCAGAAGAAAUCAGAAUUAAUUCCCCCACAUCAUAUAGUCCCAAGGAGAAUUGCAUUCCCUUGGCUACAUGAAUUAGUAUUUCCUAAGUGUGGAUCACAGAACUGAGCCCAAGGUAAUUUACACCUAAUGUAUGUUGAAUAUUAACAUAGAUACAUCUUUUAAGUGAUUUUAAGGUUCUCGCAUGUAAUAAAAAUGUAAAAUGAUCAAUCGUAAUUUUAUGUAUGCCUUAAAACAUUUUUUGUUUGUUUUGGGUUUUCAUUUUUGGCUUUUGUGGUUUUUGUUUUGUUUUUAUUAUUUUGUCCUUAGGUAGACAUUGUUGAAGGAUACCUCAAAGUACCCAGAAGGACAGGAGGAAUUGCAGAACCUCAGGCUGGAGGGUAUCCCUCAAAACGAGCAAGACACAGCUCUGCGACUGGAUGCAAGCCAAGAUCCUAGAUGACUCAAUUUUUCACUCUAUCAGAUGAAGACAAUACUUGCCAUCUCCCAAAUAAAGGUUAUGAGGAUUAAUCUGUCCAUAAUGCAUUUGGAGAUCCUUGCAAUAAAGAUUAAAACCAUGUAUAAAAUUUACUAUAUUUUAUAGGUGUGAGUUUUCAAGAUCAGUUAUCUUGAAACUGUUUAUUCCCUAAGAAUUGGGCCUGCAGUUUAAUAUCCUAUGACAUGAAAUACAUGGUUCAAUCUUAGUUAGGGAUCCACAGUCUUCAAUAACUAGGCUUCUGUUGGUAUAGUUAAUUAAGAGAGAUGAUAGCAAUUCUCCACUUACUAUUUUUGCCUGCAUUUAUCCUUCCUGAAAUAUGGUUGAAAUUUAAAACAUGGAAGCUGGUUACUACUUACUCCUAGACACCAUCCUAGAAGUAGCACAAGAUGGGUCAUACGGCUGAUUUAAAAUCUAGAAUAUAAAUGUGACAUAAAAUGUAGGAUUAAUAUUUCAAAAAAUACACCUGUCCUAGCCAAGGAUACUUUUUUCCUUAAUUAAAAAUGAUAUCGUUAACAUUACAGUUUACUGAUUAAAUGCCAUUUACAUAUUAGUAUUUGCCUAUUAGCAUUAGGAAGAAAAUACCUUCUAACAAUUCACAUCUGCCUCUUCUCUAAACUCAUUAACAAUUCCUAUUCACCAUAUUGUAAAGACAUUUACUUUCAAGAUUUCAGGCUUUAAUAGGCCAGGCAUGGUGGCUCACCUCUGUAAUCCCAGCACUUUGGGAGGCCGAGAUGGGAGGGUUGUGUGAGGCCAGGAAUUUCAGCAAUAUAGGGAGACCCCCAUCUCUACAAAAAAUUAAAUACAAUUUAAAAAUUAACCAGGCGUGGUGGCAUAUGCCUGGGGUCCCAGCUCCUUGACAGAGGAUAAGGUGGAAGGAUCGCUUGAGCCUGGGAGGUCUAGGCUGUGCUGAGCCAUGAUCACACCACUGCACCAGCUUGGGCAACAGAGCAAGACCCCAUCUUAAAAAAGAAAUUAAUGGUUUAAAAAAUAGCUUCAUGACUCAAGUCACUGCAGCUUCAGAGUUGUUUUAGCUUUUAGAUAGAUAGAAGUAUUUUAGCCUUUCCCAUCCUGUGUGCAAUUUAACAGCAUCCAUGAGUGUAUUUAACAAUAUUACUUUUCACCCAAAUUCUCCUAUUCAUUUUUUAAAUUCACUUAUUUUCACUUAUUAUUAUUCAUUCAACAAACAUUUAUUAAAUGCCUACCUACUAUGUGCUGAAGCUUUGCUGAGCGAAAAGAUGCAAAUAAAACAUUAUCCCUGCCUUCAAAGAAAUUCAUUGUAUAGUAGGCAAGACAUAGAAGGAAAUAUGUGUUUCUAAUUCAGUAUUUUUUAAAUCAACAAUUCAAAAAAAAAUUAAAUGAGUUUUGUAGCAUCCAUGGUUUUGUAGUGUGAUCAUG
rnacentral:lncRNA from 1 species